GUGAUUUUAUGCACAUUCAGCCUCUUCAAUUUUACUUUCUCACUAUCAGAUGUCAUGUCGGUAGAAGCUGAGUGAAAAGAAAUACUUAUUUCGUUACUCAUUCACAUUUCAGGACUGAGGGCAGGACUGACAGGACUACCAAGAGCCAGGGAACAAGAACUUUCUUUCUCCUGGGAAUUUAUCUGGAACGGUAGAAAAUUAUAAUAAUUGUUUGUGCAGGUCGAACAGCCAUGAUGAUUGGUACAGCAACAAGAGGGUAAACAUCGAUCGUGAAACGAUGUAGCAGGAGGACUCUCGUGAUCGGCCAUGAAUCUAGAUGAGUGAACUUGUGCUGUUCUGAAACAAAGAAAAACGUAGAGACUGCCAUGAGUGAUUCAUAUUGCUGUUUCUUCAAUGAGGGAUGAAGUAAUAAAUAUCAUGAAGGGAGGUUAAAUAGAA